AUAGCUAAAGUUGAUUGCAAAGGCAGCAACAUUCAUUGUGAGCUGGAACUGAAUGAACUUUUAACUGUUCUUAGAUACACACCUUCUCCAACUCAAAACUGUCAGCGCAGAAGUAAAUAACCAGGAUGACAAUAUUUGUGCUCUCCUUUGCCACUUCAGUGCCUUGGAUUCCCAUGGAAAGCCCAAUAAUUACAUGAUUCAUACUGGCAGUUCUCCCUUUCAUAUGACCAGGCUGCUUGUCUUAUGCUAUUACUCUCAAGAAAGAGGCCGCACUAGAGAAUGAUGCUUCCUAUUGGUAGUUGAGGAAAGAAAAGAUGAAUGCUCUUAACAAGUGAGUGAAAAAGCAAAGACCAAGUUGCAAUUUCAAUAAAAGUACCUGAUUGCCCUCACUCUAGCCUCCUAGAAUUUGCUUAGGUCAUUGAGAUACUUAUGUCUUACUCCAGUGUCUCACAAUCAAAGAUCCCAGCCAAGGCAUGAAAACUAUCAUGUAUUUCAUAGAAUAAGCCAAAGUUGUCUUCCAGCCAGAGGCAGACCUUUUGCAAUUGCCAACACCAUGAUUAUGACUAGCAGUGACAAUACAAACAAGUGCAUUGAAAUAUGUUGGUGCUGCCCAUCUCUCAAUACGUCCACCCUGAUAUCUCCACUCUUUAGGGAGAACUUUUCAAAUUGCCUGGAUUGCUUGAAGUUACAGACAGCAGAAAAGCAACAACCCAAACGACAGCAACAAUAAUACUCCCACCAUGAUAAUUGUAUGCUGUUUGAUUCCAAAGGCAGAGAGAUUAUAGCACAGGCCAAAAGUACAAUAACAGUGGUUGUCUCAAACGCUUUAAAGACAUAACUGAGUUUCAAGAACCACAGCCAGUGCUUUUACUCCAGACUGACAUGAAGCCUCAAAGUUCUUAUUCCUCAUCAUGUAACUGAGCCACUUCAGAUCAACACUGAGAAAGGAAAUGGAUUUGUUAUGCAAGCAACCCUCAUCAACAGGCUGCACAUCAAUGGUCUUGGUCAAUUGGUGCUGUAUAUGUGAAAGAUCAGUUGUAAAUCAAUACACCAUCUUUGGUUCAUUGCUUAGUAGGUCUUGAUUUGUGGUCCUUCCUUCUGUCGCUUUUGGGUUACAUUGGUUGAUGCCAAGAAGGUGAUAGAUGUUAUUGCUUCUCGAAAGGUACAUAUAAUCAGAACAUAAGUAGCAUCUGGCAGUUCCUCACUGUCUUAUGUGGACAAUUUGGAGGGACUUGAAUAACUGAACAUUUGAAGGCAUGGAAAAACCAGAUAAGAGAUCAAAUCUAGUUUCCUGAAUCUGCAAAUUGAAUGUUGUACAAUGAAUUUUUUGGGGACCUUUUAAAUUUAUGAUUGUAAUUCUUUAAGAGGCUCUACAUUUUGAACACUACUCUUCUUUAAUAAAACUCAUUAAUUACUUAUAAAAAAAUAAGUGUUUGAUUGUUUUACUUCCUUGGCCUAUUCCUAGUUUAUAUUUCUGUUAAGAUUGUCAAUUAGUAUGGCCAUUGGUCUUUGUACCAAUGGCUUCUCCUUUCCCUCUCACAAGCAAGGGGAAGAUGUUGAAGUUGUGGGUUUAAUCUGUAAUGUGUAAAUGAUUAGUAUUUACCAAUCAAAACUGCAAUGUGAUCGUUGAAUUCUAUUUGUGAAGAAAGGGAUGGAGAAACUAAGAUAGGAAGCUGUGUUUUGAUGGCUCUCUCUUAUGAUGUAGUGACACUAUUUAGGAAGAGUCAUAGUAUGCACACCUUCAACGCUUUAAUACAGAUGUAAGUUUGAAAAUCUCACAUAAGAUACAAUUAUCUCUCCUUGGCCUAGAGCCUUGAAUUCCUAUAACCCAGUACCUAAUGGUUUUAGGGAAGGCACAUAAUUGGAAUGGCCUUUGAAUAUGGCUUUUUCUGCUUCAAGCAUGUACCCAUCAUAGCCUUCUCUAAAAUGUAGGAUCUUGUCAUCAUAAAAAUAUCAACGUUUUCCAUUUGCUCUUCAGGCUAACAAUUUUGAACAUUACAAUGUCCACUUCUGCUUUACCCAGUAAAUCCCCGUUUGGCUUGAGAUUUUAGACUCUGCACUAAAUUAGCUAUAGCUUUGGAGUUAUUGUCUCUAGUGAUCAUCUUAACAUUUAACUUUGGCAAUUAUGCCCUACUGUUCACACAAACCAUUUAUUUUGUCGCAGUCCACAUUGUUUCUGCUGUUCUAGCACUGGUUGAGAUCAUUCAACACCGCUAGCCUUGAUAGCCCGAAUAAGAUCAGAGGGUUUUCUUCAAGAACAGCAUGAACCUUCUCAUUCUCCUCCUGUUUUGUUGGACAGAGGUGUUGUAUUCCAAGCUCAUAUCAGCUGUAUCACUAUGAUUGCAAAAAUUGCAUUAUUUUCUUUUGAUCCAUAUACCUCUUAGCUAUCUUUCUUUGGACAUAAUAUUUCAAAUAUAUUCCCAGUAUUUUCCGUGAAAGAGAGAUAGCAUCCCAUGUUGCACUUUAUGUUACUUCGUUUUGCUUGGCUGGGUGCUUAGUUACUAGAAUAUUCUAGCUAUUGAUGAUAUGAUUAACUUUCCUAUACUGCAUUGGUGGGUCUGGAGAAAGUUUUGUGGCUCAACUGUACUCUGUAUGGCAUGCUUUGGGUGUGUUACGAUCUGUCCUGGUAUUGCAUUCUAUAACUACAUUUUCUAAAUCAGCCAAUUCUAAAUGCAAAGAGAAGUGUUACUGCACUCCUGGUUCAGCAUUGGUGUGUUAUCUCAAAUUUUAGGGGUAAUUACAACUUACCCACCUGUGGUUCUCUUCUUCCUCACAACCAAGCUUCCAUACCUCUAGAGAGACAUGGGAUUCCUUACCAUCAUCAUCCCAACCGCAAGUGCCUCUGGGAGCACUACUGGUGUAGCUGGUCAAAGAAGUGGUGGUGGUGCUACUCUGGGGUUCAAUGGUAGAAAGUUUGGUGUAUCACAGCCACCAAAGUUUCAACCACUUGGUGGAAAGGGCAAGAAGGCUAACAAGGGCACCAAAAGCAGUAAAUGAAGUAGAUCAUCAAAUAUUACCGAGCUUUGCUGUCAAAGCAACAAGAUUUUGUAUUAUUGAGCUUUGCUAUCAAAGCAGCAAGAGAAAAUAUGCUUGACCCAAAAGAUGAUUGCCUUUUCACUAGUUUUUAAUUUUUUUUUAAAAGAAACUUUCAUUCUUUGAUACUUGUGUGUGUUAGGGAAAUAACAGGUUUUCAUUUGGACAUAUACUUCUUGCUGUUUAAUAAAUGUGUAUUGGCAGAUUUUGUA